AACACGGACAAACAGGAAGUAGCUCUCUCUCGGGGAAGCUAGGAGCACUGCAGGAGGGCUUUCCAACAUUGCAUAAAGACAAAACACAUAGAAGCCUCUUUAGGCCCAGGGACAUGAAAGGUGUUACAGUAAUCUAAACAACUAUUCAGAAUAAUCCUGAAGACCUAAUCCUGCAGUCAUGAGUGGAAAAGAUGAGAAACGACACGGUGACAGAUCCCAGCUCCCUCCUCAGACUAAAGCCCACGGAAACAAGUUCUUAUGUAACUGCAUUUCAGAAAGACUGACGAACAAAGGCAGAGGAAAAAUGGACAGAACAUCAAAAAGGAAUGCAGCCAGUAUUUCUGGAUCUCCUCUCUUGAGAUGUAGCUGUCCCAGAGUCACAUCCCCAGACACAGCCUGCUUUCUAACACCUUUCCCGGACAUUUUUUUCUCCCUUGAAUUUCUCUAAAGGAGAUUCAGGUUGGAGGA